GUACGGCCCAUAGGCCAUUGGAGAGGCCCAUGGGCCGGUGCGGGCUAGGCCCGAUAGCAUGCUAGUGCUAGGCCAGCAGUGCACAGGUGCCCAAUCCUGUUGGGUAUCGUGGUCCAUGGUGGGCCACGCUCUAUCACAGAUCACAAUCAUGCACAUGGACUGAUCGCGAUCUGAGACUAAGGAGAAGGUGCGAUCCAAUAGCCUCGCUCGCAUUGGUG
rnacentral:lncRNA from 1 species